UACAGAGGUGGCAAGCGUUGCUCGGUGUUACUGGGCUUAAAGGGUGCGUAGGCUGCGCAGUACGGCUCGGGUGAAAUCCCUCGGCCCAACCGAGGAACAGCCCGGGCGACGGCUGUGCUAGGCAGCAUCAGGGGAAGAUGGAACUCCCGGUGGAGCGGUGAAAUGCGUAGAUAUCGGGAGGAACGCCGAUGGCGAAAGCAAUCUUCUGGGGUGCAUGCGACGCUGAGGCACGAAAGCUAGGGGAGCAAACGGG
rnacentral:rRNA from 1 species